GUUCUGUGGAAAAGAGAAGAGACAUUCAUGUUGUGCUCACUCUAAUAUUACAUUUGCAUUCGCUAUGAAGCAUCAUAGAGGCAAUGUUGAAGGGUUACGAGUGAAAGCUAGAGGAGCUGAACACGCAUCGCUGGCUGAAGCAAUGACUCUUGUUGGGUUGGAGGAUGAGGAGGGGGGAGGUAGUGGUUAGAGUCUCUGGUUCAUGAUCACAGAGGGUGGCAGUAAUGCAAAAGUUUUGUUGCGAUCUGCCAUAAAAAAGAGGAAGAAGAUUGAAGAAGUGUAUGUCAGAGCACAAACCAAGCCAUGAAGUCCAAGGAAUUGUCUGUAGAUUUCUGCAGCAUUGCAGGUCUCAAUGAGCACUGUGGCCUCUAUCAUCUAUAAACGGAAGAAGAUUGGAAUCACCAGGACUCUUCCAAAAGCUGGCUACCUGGCCAAACUGAGCGAUAGGAGGAGAAGGGCCUUAGUCGAUGGUCACUCUGACAGAGCUCCAGCAUUUCUCUGUGGAGAGAGGAAAACCUUUCAGAAGAACAACCAUCUCUGCAGCACUCCACCAAUCAGGCCUGUAUGGUAGAGUGGCCAAACGGAAGCCACUCCUCCAUAAAAGGCACAUGACGGCCUGCCUGGAGUUUGCCAAAAGGCACCUGAAGGACUCUCAGACCAUGAGAAACAAAAGUCCCUGGUCUGAUGAAACAAAAAUUGAACCCUUUGGCCUGAAUGACAAGCGUCAUGUCUUGAGGAAACCAGGCACCGCUCAUCACCUGGCCAAUACCAUCCCUACAAUGAAGCAUGCUGGUGGCAGGUUUUUUUAGUGGCAGGAACUGGGAGACUAGUCAGGAUCGAGGGAAAGAUGAACACAGCAACGUACAGAGACAACCUUGAUGAAAACCUGCUCCAAAAGCACUCUGGACCUCAGACUGGGGUGAAGGUUCAUCUUCCAACAGGAUAACAACCUUAAGCACACAGCCAAGAUAACAAAGAAGUGGCUAUGGGAUAACUCUGUGAAUGUCGUUGAGUUGCCUAGCCAGAUCCCAGACUUGAUCCUGAUUGAACAUCUCUGGAGAGAUCUGAAAAUGACUGUGCAUCAACGCUCCCCAUCAAACCUGAUGGAGCUUGAGAGGUCCUGCAAAGAAGAAUGGGAGAAACUGCCCAAAAUUAGGUGUGCCAAGCUUGUAGCAUCAUACACAAAAAGACUUGAGGCUGUAAUUGGUGCCAAAGGUGCUUCAACAAAGUAUUGAGCAAAGGUUGGGAAUACUUAUGUACAUGUGAUUUUUGUUUUUUUUAUUAUUAUUUUUUUUAAUACAUUUGAAAAGAUUUCGAACAAACUUCUUUCACAUUGUCAUUAUGGGGUAUUGUUUGUAGAAUUUAAUAAAAUAAUGAAUUUAAUCCAUUUUGGAAUUUAAGGCUGUAACAUAACAUGUGGAAAAAGUGAAGCGCUGUGAAUACUUUCUGUAUAAUAUAUAUAUAUAUAUAUAUAAAGCAUUUCAUAAACCCUUUAGUAAUGUUAAUUUCUACAUAAACUAAUGCAUUUCGAACACUAAAAAUUGUAUACUGUAUGUUAACAUUAAUGCAAUAUGAAAUAAUUGUAUUUCUAUAAAAUAACAUUAACCGAUAUUAAUAAAUGCAAUAAAAUUAUAUUGUUCAUUGUUAAUGAUACAUAAUGCAUUGUUAACAAAUAGAACCUUAUUGUAGUGUUAUCCUGAAAACGAUAUACGUGCAGUUUCCAUGACCUCAUAUUGAGACACUAGUUUUUGAACUUCUUGAAAAAAGUUAAGGUUAAGAUUUAAGAAGUUAAGAAUUGUUUGAAUGCAUAAUGUCAUCUACAAAGCUAUAGAGUGGUUAUAUUUUAGUGCUUCCUCAUUAAAAAAAAAAAAAAAAAUAAU